UAAUACGAAUGUGGCAAGCGUUGUUCGGAAUCACUGGGCGUAAAGAAUGCGUAGGCGGCUUGGCAAGUCAGAAGUGAAAUCCCAGGGCUUAACCCUGGAACUGCUUUUGAAACUGUUAGGCUAGUGUCCCGGAGGGGUUGAUGGAAUUCCGAGUGUAGAGGUGAAAUUCGCAGAUAUUCGGAGGAACACCAGUGGCGAAAGCGAUCAACUGGACGGGUACAGACGCUGAGGCAUGAAAGUGUGGGGAUCAAACAGG
rnacentral:rRNA from 1 species